rnacentral:rRNA from 1 species
UACAGAGGGGGCGAGCGUUGUUCGGAAUUACUGGGCGUAAAGGGCGCGUAGGCGGCCCGCUAAGUCGAACGUGAAAUCCCCAGGCUCAACCUGGGAACUGCGUCCGAUACUGGCAGGCUUGAAUCCGGGAGAGGGAUGUGGAAUUCCAGGUGUAGCGGUGAAAUGCGUAGAUAUCUGGAGGAACACCGGUGGCGAAGGCGGCAGCCUGGACCGGUAUUGACGCUGAGGCGCGAAAGCUAGGGGAGCAAACGGG